rnacentral:rRNA from 1 species
GGUAUGCUUAGGGAGGAGCUUGCGUCACAUUAGUUAGUUGGUGGGGUAAAGGCCUACCAAGACUAUGAUGUGUAGCCGGGCUGAGAGGUUGAACGGCCACAUUGGGACUGAGACACGGCCCAAACUCCUACGGGAGGCAGCAGUAGGGAAUUUUCGGCAAUGGAGGAAACUCUGACCGAGCAACGCCGCGUGAACGAUGAAGUAUUUCGGUACGUAAAGUUCUUUUAUUAGGGAAGAAUAAAUGAUGGAAAAAUCAUUCUGACGGUACCUAAUGAAUAAGCCCCGGCUAACUAUGUGCCAGCAGCCGCGGUAAUACAUAGGGGGCAAGCGUUAUCCGGAAUUAUUGGGCGUAAAGGGUGCGUAGGCGGUUAAAUAAGUUUAUGGUCUAAGUGCAAUGCUCAACAUUGUGAUGCUAUAAAAACUGUUUAGCUAGAGUAAGAUAGAGGCAAGUGGAAUUCCAUGUGUAGUGGUAAAAUGCGUAAAUAUAUGGAGGAACACCAGUAGCGAAGGCGGCUUGCUGGGUCUUUACUGACGCUGAGGCACGAAAGCGUGGGGAGCAAACAGGAUUAGAUACCCUGGUAGUCCACGCCGUAAACGAUGAGUACUAAACGUUGGGUAAAACCAGUGUUGAAGUUAACACAUUAAGUACUCCGCCUGAGUAGUACGUACGCAAGUAUGAAACUUAAAGGAAUUGACGGGACUCCGCACAAGCGGUGGAUCAUGUUGUUUAAUUCGAAGGUACCCGAAAAACCUCACCAGGUCUUGACAUGCUUCUGCAAAACUGUAGAAACACAGUGGAGGUUAUCAGUUGCACAGGUGGUGCAUGGUUGUCGUCAGCUCGUGUCGUGAGAUGUUGGGUUAAGUCCCGCAACGAGCGCAACCNUUAUUGNUAGUUACCAGCACGUAAUGGUGGGGGACUUUA